GUGGGGAAUAUUGCACAAUGGGCGGAAGCCUGAUGCAGCAACGCCGCGUGCGGGAUGACGGCCUUCGGGUUGUAAACCGCUUUCAGCAGGGACGAAGCGCAAGUGACGGUACCUGCAGAAGAAGCACCGGCUAACUACGUGCCAGCAGCCGCGGUGAUACGUAGGGUGCGAGCGUUGUCCGGAUUUAUUGGGCGUAAAGAGCUUGUAGGCGGUUGGUUGCGUCGAAAGUGCAAACUCAGGGCUUAACUCUGAGCCUGCUUUCGAUACGGGCUGACUGGAGGAAGGUAGGGGAGAAUGGAAUUCCCGGUGGAGCGGUGGAAUGCGCAGAUAUCGGGAGGAACACCAGUGGCGAAGGCGGUUCUCUGGACCUUUCCUGACGCUGAGAAGCGAAAGCGUGGGAGCAAACAGGCUUAGAAACCCUGGUAGUCC
rnacentral:rRNA from 1 species